UCUCCGUUGGUGAACCAGCGGAGGGAUCAUUACAGCACUCGCAAGACUCUUACAACCCUGUGAAUUUAACUACAAGCACGUUGCUUCGUCGGGUGUUUCGGAGGGUGUUCUCCCUCCCCAAGACGCUAAACCCGCCGGCAGCCAACUAUACUCUGUAACUUUUCAUUGGUAUCUCGAGUACAAUCAAACAAGUUAAAAAUUUCAACAACGGAUCUCUUGGUUCUG
rnacentral:misc_RNA from 1 species